rnacentral:tRNA from 1 species
UGGCCUAGUGGUUAAGGCUAUGGGUCGCCAAUCCGGAGACGGCGGGUUCGAUUCCCGU